rnacentral:tRNA from 1 species
GUUUUAGUAAUUUAAUAAAAAUAUUGGUCUUGUAAACCAAAACUAAGUAAUAACUACUUCUAAAACU